rnacentral:rRNA from 1 species
AAUAUUGGGCAAUGGGGGAAACCCUGACCCAGCAACGCCGCGUGAAGGAAGAAGGCCUUCGGGUUGUAAACUUCUUUUGUCAGGGAAGAUAAUGACGGUACCUGACGAAUAAGCCACGGCCAACUACGCGCCAGCAGCCGCGGUAAUACGUAGGUGGCGAGAGUUGUCCGGAUUUACUGGGUGUAAAGGGCGUGUAGGCGGGACUGCAAGUCAGAUGUGAAAUGCCGAGGCUUAACCUCGGAGCUGCAUUUGAAACUGUAGUUCCUGAGUAUCGGAGAGGCAGGCGGAAUUCCUAGUGUAGCGGUGAAAUGCGUAGAUAUUAGGAGGAACACCAGUGGCGAAGGCGGCCUGCUGGACGACAACUGACGCUGAGGCGCGAAAGCGUGGGGAGCAAACAGG